rnacentral:tRNA from 1 species
GGCCCCAUAGCUCAACUGGACAGAGCGCACCCCUCCUAAGGGUGAGGUUGGGGGUUCGACUCCCUCUGGGGCCG